AAAUUGAAGAGUUUGAUCAUGGCUCAGAUUGAACGCUGGCGGCAGGCCUAACACAUGCAAGUCGAGCGGCAGCGGGAAAGUAGCUUGCUACUUUUGCCGGCGAGCGGCGGACGGGUGAGUAAUGCCUGGGAAAUUGCCCAGUCGAGGGGGAUAACAGUUGGAAACGACUGCUAAUACCGCAU
rnacentral:rRNA from 1 species